UAUCCUGAUGAACUUGGGUUCGACUCUAACCAUCCCUCUUUUAACAAUUUUUUUUUUGCCAUUUAGGUCUACCAGAGGAGAGAGGUAAAACGUUACAGCCUGUCUCUCUCCUUCAAAACCCUCUCUCAAGACACACACAGCAGGCCUUCGAACACCACAAACAUUGUCGCUUUUCCGAUCAAAACCUUGGUGGCAUUCAUCACGGGAAAGACAAAGUACAUGAGCGGGAGAUGAUGAUUUGUGGUGGUGAGCAACCAGAGCGACGAUAUGGGUAUAAGAAGAAAGCCCGAGCAUAAGAAAGGGUUUUGGACAAAGAGAGGUGCUGGCUCUAGGGUUCCGGCUGUUGGUCCUGGCAACGACCAUAACCGACGGUCCCGCGAGCCCAGUGGUGGUAGCGAUUUGGGUUGAUGUAAAACGGUGGAAGUGUUCAGGUUUUGACAGAGGAGUGACGACUGCCGUUUGAAGGCUUGGUAUUCCGGCGAGGUGUUUUCCGGUCUAGAUCCAGACAAUAUUCCGGGUUAUUCUAGACCUCCGACCAAAAUCCGGUGAACGACGGUGGUUGUAACGGUGAGUGGCGAAGAUGACACAAAUAUAAUGCGACGAGUAUCAUUGACGAGGUAAACUUUUAAAAUCCUUACUUUCCGUAAGCGUAGAUGUUAAUGUUUGUGCCGGAAUCGGUAAACGGCAAUGACUGUUACCAGUGGUAUUUUGAGAUGUUUAGAGAGGGCACUGUGGUGUUAGGCCAAAUAUACUUUUUAUGCAUUUCUAUGAAACUGAAGUUUUCAAAUAUUUUUGUUGUAGAUUUUAUGUAUUAUUCCUAAUGCUUUAGUUUUAAAUUUGAUGCAUUUUUGUGUUAAUCUGAAUUAAUUUUAUUAGUCGUGUCGCAUCUUCAUCCGCAGCUGGCUCAAGACAAGAUCUGGCUUAUAAAUUUUAUUAGUGUAUCCCUUUCAAAUUUUGAAUUUGAAAUUCUGGAUGGUAGUUAAUCUUUUCAUUUGAUUUUAACUCAAAUUUGUUUAAUAACUGCUUGAUUUGUGCUCACUUUGUUCAAAAUUUUCUAACAUUAUACCCCCAAUUGAAGUUUGAAAUUGUGUUAAUUUUAUAUGUUUCAUAUGUUAGCACAUUCAAGCAUAGAUGAUUCUUUGGCAUGUUGGUUCAGUUUAAAUCAAUUGAUAUAUCGAUGGGCUUUGGAUGAUUACUAUGGAAAGGGGACCGUGGUUAGGUACUGUGGUUCAUCUUUUACUUUUUAUUAGUUAGACUCAUUUAGUUUGGAAACUGAUAGAAAGUGGUAAUAUUGGUCUAACCCGGGCUUCAAAUACCAAUGCUUGCCUAAUGUUAACAAUCAACUUGAACUUGAGGUGCUGUUUAUAAUCAACGGUCGUCCAGAUCCGUUGCCGCCUCCAUUUGGUGUCAUCUUGUUUGCCUUACCGUUUUGCUCAUCGAACCCUUUAGGGUUCCAAGACGACAGUUGUCAGUGGCGAUGGUGGCAGGCUAUGGAUGGUGACGACGGAGUGUUUGUGGUCGUGGGCUUUUUUGAUAUAGAAUACUGUAUCAUUUAUCUUUAACUUAAUGAAUUUUAAAGUCUAUAUUUAUUUUUAAGAAGUCAAUCUCAAAUAAAUUGUAUUAGUAUUAGCUCAUACCUGACCUUUUAUCACCUUUAUUCGAUAGUCUAGAUGCAGCAUAAUGGUUAAGAUGUAGUUAUCAAUUUUCCUUUGUAUUAUUUAUUCAUAAUAGAAAAAGAGGAUUAUUAAUGAUCUAUAUUUAGCUGAUGUGAGAUCAACUGGAUCUUCAUGACCUUAUGCUUAGCCGUUAUCAUCAGAUUUAGAGAUACCAAACACAUGGGUAAUGCUUCAGGUAUGGUGUUUUAAGAAAAAAAUUAAACAGUUUGUUAAAUGCCUAAUAUACCUUUAAUUGAUUUCACUAUAUCGUGAUCAGGUUUGACGGGUAUAACGAUCAUGUUGGUUACUACUUGCUUGAUGUCUCUUAUUUUCGUCUUACACUGGCACCAAAAUGUUAUUCUUGCAAUCGCUUUUGUGGUGUUUUUUAGGAUGAUUGAAGCACUGUACUUUUCGGCUUUUCUUCUCAAGUUUCUAGAAGGGGCAUGGGUCCUCAUAGCACUCUCGCUCAUUUUCAUGCUUGUGAUGUACACGUGGCACUAUGAUACACUUAAAAACUAUGAAUUUAAUAUCCAAAACAAAGUAUCAUACACUUAAAAAAUAUGAAUUUGAUAUCCAUAACAAAGUAUCAGUUGAUUUGGCUACUGAGCAUGUGCCCGACACUUGGUUGGACCUUGCUAGCUAGAAAGCAUGCCGAGUUCCAAGACUCGGAACGAAAAAAAAAAGUUAAAGAGUGUUGUAUUGUUUUUUCACAGUGAAAUACUUCAAAGAGUACAAAUACUACAAGUUGGAUGGAUUGGCUAAAGUCCCAAAUGUCAACACAAGUUCAGCACCAAGCCAAACACCCACGUGGCAGGUUCCGUCGAUACAUCCGAUCUCCCCAGCUACAGUGUUCGGGUUGAAUCCUCCUAUUGUUUGCAGUAAUUCAAUUUAAGUAGCCGCAACGCGGCGACACGAAAAAAAACCUAGUUAGUUUAGUACUCAACAUUGUGACAAGAUUUCUUAGUACUCAACAUUGUAACAAAUGGAACAUUAAUACUUGAUUUUGCAACAAAAAACUAUUAGUACCAAACAUUGAAAUUUUACAAAAAACUAUUUAAAUUUGAUGAUUAAAUAAACGUGUGAAAUAAUUAUAUCUAUGUUUCCGGUUUUUUUAUAUAAAACGAUUAAGAAGUAGAAUAAAGUGGGUAAACUGAGAAAAAUUAUUUAAACUAGAGUUGUGUAUGGUCAGCUGGGUUGGUUUCAGGCCCAAACCAAACCGAAACCAAAAAUUCGGUGGAUUUUAAAGACCAUCGUUUCAAUUAGAAUUUUGGUCGUUUAUCGUUUAGUUGUCAUGUAGGUUGGAUUGGUUUUGGUUGACUUGGGCCUAGGGGCCGGGCUACAAUUAAAAAAAUAUAUUUCCGUACAUUUACAUUUACAUUUACAUUUACAUUUUCCUACAAGAGGGAAUAGUUCCCGUUUCUCAUUGGCUAAGAUGGGCGGCCACCCAAUGGCAUGUAGUGGCAUUACUAAUGUGAGGAAUAGUGUCAGGCUGCUGUCUGGCAAUUCCCCAUUGGUUCGGGUAUUUAUGAGUUUACCCCCGUUUAAAAUUACGAAUUUGCCCCAUGUUCAAAGUUACGAUUUUGCUCCGGGUUAAAAAUUACAAUAUCGUCAUCGUUUUAAUUUUUUUUUAAAUGUGUGUCAGGGAAUAGUGUCAGGCUGCUGCAUGGCACUCCUUCAUUGGCCCGGGUAUGUUACGAUUUUACCCCCAGUUCAAAAUUUCCUAUAUUUACAUUUUCCUAUGAGAGGAAAUAGUUCCCGUUUCUCAUUGGCUAAGAUGGGCGGUGUAAUAACCCGACUUUUCGGAUCGUUACCCAUCGAUGUCAUUUCUUUCUUAAUUGCUUGUACUCCCGAGAUUUCGAUUAACGUAAAAGGGUUAAACUAUAUUUUCAAUACGCAUUUUAAAACGCUUAUUCAAAACGCGGUUAUCGCAUGUAAACGGCGUUUACAACGCUUACUACUUAAUGCAUUAUAUCGCAUGUUACAUCGCUUGUUUA